rnacentral:rRNA from 1 species
AUUGAACGCUGGCGGCAUGCCUUACACAUGCAAGUCGAACGGCAGCACGGGAGCAAUCCUGGUGGCGAGUGGCGAACGGGUGAGUAAUAUAUCGGAACGUGCCCAGUCGUGGGGGAUAACGCAGCGAAAGCUGUGCUAAUACCGCAUACGAUCUAAGGAUGAAAGUGGGGGAUCGCAAGACCUCGCGCGAUUGGAGCGGCCGAUAUCAGACUAGCUAGUUGGUGGGGUAAAGGCCCACCAAGGCGACGAUCUGUAGCUGGUCUGAGAGGACGACCAGCCACACUGGAACUGAGACACGGUCCAGACUCCUACGGGAGGCAGCAGUGGGGAAUUUUGGACAAUGGGCGCAAGCCUGAUCCAGCAAUGCCGCGUGCAGGAUGAAGGCCUUCGGGUUGUAAACUGCUUUUGUACGGAACGAAACGGCCCUUCCUAAUACAGGGGGCUAAUGACGGUACCGUAAGAAUAAGCACCGGCUAACUACGUGCCAGCCGCCCGCCGUAA